ACGGGAGGCAGCCUUGGUGCAUAUUGCACAAUGGGGGCAACCCUGAUGCAGCAACGCCGCGUGAGUGAUGACGGCCUUCGGGUUGUAAAGCUCUGUCUUCAGUGACGAUAAUGACGGUACCUGAGGAGGAAGCCACGGCUAACUACGUGCCAGCAGCCGCGGUAAUACGUAGGUGGCGAGCGUUGUCCGGAUGUACUGGGCGUAAAGGGAGCGUAGGCGGAUUUUUAAGUGAGAUGUGAAAUACUCGGGCUUAACCUGAGUGCUGCCUUUCAAACUGGAAGUCUAGAGUGCAGGAGAGGAGAAGGGAAUUCCUAGUGUAGCGGUGAAAUGCGUAGAGAUUAGGAAGAACACCAGUGGCGAAGGCGCUUCUCUGGACUGUAACUGACGCUGAGGCUCGAAAGCGUGGGGAGCAAACAGGAUUAGAUACCCUGGUA
rnacentral:rRNA from 1 species